AACAAGUACGAGGCCCAACAUAAGCCCACAAGCACCACCCCAUCGGAAAGACACGUUAUCACACGUGUUUCGACAAAUGAUGAAGCUACGAAACACGCGUCGAGAACCACCUGCAUGCCUCCACCUGUCAGAACUUUACACCGGAGACCAAUCUCAUCGGCGCCACCGGAAAAGGCCGGGAACCAUGAAUACAACGACUACCCCACCAACAAAGCUUGCGUCUUCAUCUCUUUAAUUCCAAAUAUCGGAGAGCAUCAAUCGAGAAAUCGAGAUCUCAUCCUACUUCCAUU
rnacentral:lncRNA from 1 species